GAGGUUGUGGCUAAGUGGCAAAGCGCUCACCUAGCACGUGUGAGGCCCUGGGUUUGAUCCUCAGAACCACA
rnacentral:tRNA from 1 species